AGCGAACGCUGGCGGCAGGCUUAACACAUGCAAGUCGAGCGGGCACUUCGGUGUCAGCGCCAGACGGGUGAGUAACACGUGGGAACGUACCCUUCGGUUCGGAAUAACGCUGGGAAACUAGCGCUAAUACCGGAUACGCCCUCGUGGGGAAAGGUUUACUGCCGAAGGAUCGGCCCGGGUCUUAUUACCUAGUUGUGGGGGUAAUGGGCUACCAAGGCGACGAUCAGUAACUGGGCUGAGAGGAUGAUCAGCCACACUGGUACUGGGACACGGCCCAGAAUACUACGGGAGGCAGCAGUGGGGAAUAUUGGACAAUGGGGGGAAGCAUGAUCCAGCCAUGCCGGGUGAGUGAUGAAGGCCUUAGGGUUGUAAAGCUCUUUUGUCCGGGACGAUAAUGACGUUACCGGAAGAAUAAGCCCCGGCUAACUUCGUG
rnacentral:rRNA from 1 species